CUCAGCCGGCGGCCUCGGGGGCGGGGCCGCGGGAGCCCGUGGGAAACCGAGCUCCGAUUGGGCUUCCUGACAAUCGCUCCUCCUCGGACCAGCCAAUCAGAGGCGGCGGAUACAGGAGCGGGGCGUUCGGAGUUGGGCAGCAGAGUGACAACAGGCGCACGCUGGCUACCUGCGCUGCGUCCCGGCCCCGGCGCGCGGCCGGCAGGGCUGCGGCAUCGCGCACUCUGGCGAUGCCGCCCCUCGAGGCUCCGGCUGCGCGGCCUGCAGAGACCGCGGGAAGGCGUCGGAGGCGCGGCGGCCCGGGGACCGGCGAGGGAGCCCCUAAACAAAGCAGCUUUGGGAGGGCCGAGCGGCCUCCGCCUCCUCCUGCAAUAGGCCCGCUCAGCUGCCUGUCAGCCUGCCUAGGUAGAGGUGACCAAUGACGUGCGCAGAAGGGGCUCCAGUUGGCGCGCGCGCGCGGCUCGGCGUCCGUGGGAUUGGUCUGAGUGUGUUGAGCUGAGUUUAUGUCACUUGCAAUGAAAGAGGCCUUGACAAAGACAGAAGGCUUCCCUCCCUAACACCCGGACACGAGAGAAGGCAGCCGCGCUCGGAGCAGAGUGCUCACAUCCAGCACUGUUUCCACAGCAUGACUCAGCGUCCAUGACCGUCCCUCCAAACUGUGAACCUUUGAUAAAGCACCAGGAAAAAGUUCGUGGGAAAGAGGAAUUAAAAGUACGUUUACAGUCUUCAAA